CUCUGGGCUCUGAAGGCUGGAUCCUGUACAGGGAGAGGAAAGAGCUGUGUGUGUAUUACUGAGAGGCAGCAUGGCCAUGUACAAUUGUGCAUCAUAAACAAAUCCCGUCCCAUAAGGAGAAAAGCCGUGAACUGGCAGGAUCUGUCAGCAGAUCAGUUGCAGGACGUCAGGGCCCCAACACCAACUGGAAGUACUCUGGCUCCAGCUUCUGCCCAGACCACCCCUUUUUGGUUUGAUUAUCCGGAUGACAACUCGGAUAAGGUGGCUUCUGUGUAUCAGGCUAUUGGUGAGAUACCCAAGAUCUUCACCACAGAUAAAUUUCCCAAAAUUUUGCUGUGGAUCACCUUUGGAGGACUUGGAGUUUUCGGUUUUGUUGUUGUGUCACAGAUAUUAC